rnacentral:rRNA from 1 species
GGGAAACCGAGUCUUAAUUGGGCGUUAAGUUGCAGGGUAUAGACCCGAAACCCGGUGAUCUAGCCAUGGGCAGGUUGAAGGUUGGGUAACACUAACUGGAGGACCGAACCGACUAAUGUUGAAAAAUUAGCGGAUGACCUGUGGCUGGGGGUGAAAGGCCAAUCAAACCGGGAGAUAGCUGGUUCUCCCCGAAAGCUAUUUAGGUAGCGCCUCGUGAAUUCAUCUCCGGGGGUAGAGCACUGUUUCGGCUAGGGGGCCAUCCCGGCUUACCAACCCGAUGCAAACUGCGAAUACCGGAGAAUGUUAUCACGGGAGACACACGGCGGGUGCUAACGUCCGUCGUGAAGAGGGAAACAACCCAGACCGCCAGCUAAGGUCCCAAAGUCAUGGUUAAGUGGGAAACGAUGUGGGAAGGCCCAGACAGCCAGGAUGUUGGCUUAGAAGCAGCCAUCAUUUAAAGAAAGCGUAAUAGCUCACUGGUCGAGUCGGCCUGCGCGGAAGAUGUAACGGGGCUAAACCAUGCACCGAAGCUGCGGCAGCGACGCUGAUGCGUUGUUGGGUAGGGGAGCGUUCUGUAAGCCUGCGAAGGUGGCCUGUGAGGGUUGCUGGAGGUAUCAGAAGUGCGAAUGCUGACAUAAGUAACGAUAAAGCGGGUGAAAAGCCCGCUCGCCGGAAGACCAAGGGUUCCUGUCCAACGUUAAUCGGGGCAGGGUGAGUCGACCCCUAAGGCGAGGCCGAAAGGCGUAGUCGAUGGGAAACGGGUUAAUAUUCCCGUACUUGGUGUUACUGCGAAGGGGGGACGGAGAAGGCUAUGUUGGCCGGGCGACGGUUGUCCCGGUUUAAGCGUGUAGGUGUGUGUUCCAGGUAAAUCCGGUUCACUUUAACACUGAGGCGUGACGACGAGGCACUACGGUGCUGAAGCAACAAAUGCCCUGCUUCCAGGAAAAGCCUCUAAGCAUCAGGUAACAUCAAAUCGUACCCCAAACCGACACAGGUGGUCAGGUAGAGAAUACCAAGGCGCUUGAGAGAACUCGGGUGAAGGAACUAGGCAAAAUGGUGCCGUAACU